AUCUGUCGAUGACCCUCUCCUCCUCCCAUGGGUUCGUCGGCCCGAACAGCGGCCGCUCUCCUCCUCCCAGGGCCGCCUGUUCCCCCUUUGGAAAGCCUGCCGCACCUCCUCCCGCGGCAGGCUUUUCUG
rnacentral:sRNA from 1 species